UAUAAAGUUUAUUUACACAUAAGCUUUAAAUACGUGGGUUAGGGGAUUCUUGUCGCUAAGUUUAGUCCCUUUUGUCGCUGGUAAUUAUAGAGCGAAGUCUUAUCAGACUAAUUGAUUGAACUUUACUUUUCGAGAAAUCCCAUUGUCAGGAAUACGCUUCCUAUAUUUGUAAAUUUGCUAAAUUUCAGGCGGACUAUCAAUCAUUUAGAUUGCCUCCUAACUCAAC
rnacentral:sRNA from 23 species